CGCGCAGGCGGUCUUGCCCGUCAGGUGUGAAAGCUCGGGGCUCAACCCCGGAAGUGCACUUGAAACAGCAAGACUUGAAUACGGGAGAGGAGAGAGGAAUUCCUGGUGUAGAGGUGAAAUUCGUAGAUAUCAGGAGGAACACCGAUGGCGAAGGCAUCUCUCUGGACCGAUAUUGACGCUGAGGCGCGAAGGCGUGGGUAGCGAACG
rnacentral:rRNA from 1 species